AUCUAGGUAGUUUAAUUAAAAAUUUUGGUUUGUGGGACCGAGGAUGUAGUGUUUACUUUAGAUA
rnacentral:tRNA from 1 species